UCCAGCCAAAGGCGGUGGUUGGUCCCCCACCCGACACCCCACAGACGCUCACACACAAGGGCAGUGGAGCAGGGUUGGCUUUAUUCUGCGCCUCGGCGGGCGGGGUCGGCGGGCGGAGACCGGGCGCUGAGGGCCAGGGCCGAGGCCGGGGCGAGGCGGCUCAGCAGGUCACUCAGCAUCUCCUCGCACAUGGCGAGGCACCGCGGCACGUGGAAGCAGCCUGCGGAGAGAGGCGGGAAGGCGGGUUUGGAGGGCCGUGGGCAGCCGAGUGCCCCGAGCCCCUGGGCCCCGCCCUUUCCCCCACUCACCUUUGAAAGGACCCCCCCUUGAUGGUGAGGGCGAUCUUCCCUUCUCGGUUCAGUGACGAGCGUGUGCAGUACUUGGAGAUGCCUCUCUAACCACAGCAUAACACGAACACAUUUGGAAUUUCUACUGGUGACAAAGUCGGACACUGCUAAUACUGUGGUUCACUGCUUUCAUUCAUGAUGGACGUGAAUGCUGGAUUUCAGUUAGAGGUUAGUGCAAAUAACGGUGGAAUUUUCUCUCAGGUUUCAAAGUCCACAGACCUCAGAAUAAGACCCCCCUGUUGUAAUGCCUCCCGUACUGGGGUUUACUAAUGGAGUGAGUCGCGGCUUUGGAAACACAUCGGGAAUCUUCCUUCGUUCCCCGUCAGGCUCCGCGCCCGAGGUGCCCGUCGGCAGCAGCUGGUACAGCUCAUCGCUCUGCUCAGGCACUCGGGCCUCUGCGGGGGGCGGGGGGCUGGCUUCCUUCCUACCUCGCAGAUGAUUCUCUCUCCUUUGCUGGGCCUGCCUAUGCCCUCUUCUCCUUUCCUUCUGUACUCCAAGGUUACCUUGCCUCACGUGGCCAGCCCACACCUCUCCCGCUCGACCACACUCUGACCCCUGAGCCGCUGCAGCCCCCACCCCGGGCCAGGCCCCCACUCACUAGCCAGGAUGACAGCCACAGCCCGCUCUCCCUGCCUUCGCCUAGUGCCCUCUGGCCUCCCCUCCUGAAGCCCCAGCUUUUUUCCUUCCCACUAGCCCCCCAGUCCCCUGACCUUGCUUUAUUUCCCAGAGCUCUCAUCACCAUCUGUGUUUGCUGGUUUACUUGUUUAUGGUCGGUCCCACCAGCACCAAAUAUGAGCUCCAGUGGGGCAGGGGCCACUCUCUUGACUGAACAGAGAGCACCAGGGCCGGGACUUCCAGGAACUCUCAGACCUACUGAGGGAACACGUCCGGCGAGGGGGGGAAGGAGGGGGUGUGCCGUGCCUGCGGUCUCCUCCACACCGCUGAGGCCAGGAAGCAGCACUUACCUGGCGGAAAGUGUACUCGGCCACCUGGUAGAAGAUGUUCAGCAAGGCGGAGUCCCCGCUCUCACUGUAGCCCAUGAGGAAGGCGAUCAUGGCUUCGCUGUGCGGCCACCAGAGCUUCAUGGCCCACUCCAGCUGAGAGCAGAGCGGAGGCAGGCAUCUGAGAGCCCUGGACCCCACUCCACCACCCCUCUCAGCAGGAGAGUCACCCCCAUCUUUCGGGCCCUGGCUCAGACUCCAUCUGGCCCAAGCUCUUGGAGCUUAACCACGGGAUGAACGUCUCUGGGGGCCUUAACCGCCCAUCAGAUCGCGACUAGCUUCCUGAGCCAGAUGUAGCCCAAGCGGCCCCUCCCAAAGGGCAGGGCUGGGGUGGGUGCCCCUUGAGCCCUGGAAUCGAAACCCCGGCUGCUCCCACUGCUGAUGCCUUAGGGUCACUCAGAGAGCCUUUCCAAGAUGAAGGGCCAUGUGUCUCCGCGUGGGCAUGGCCUGCGCUCCCUCACGGCCUCCCUGUGCAUGUGAGCUUGAGGGCCACCGGCACAGGAGUCGAGCUUCCCACUGGGGUCACACCAGGCAGGUUCACUCCUCUGAGCCCCGGGUCCCCCUCUCUGAAAUGGAUGAUGACAACACGCACCUCCCUGGGCAGAAAGCCUUCGACAGGCUAGUACCAUGUAGCCCUGGGUACAUUCCCACCUGGGUGGGGCAUAGGCCAUCAGCACCCUGGAAGUAGAUGAGACUUCCAUCGUCGGGAUCCCAUCCAGAGCGGAAAGGCAACAAUAGGAACUUGUCGAUAACGUGGGCUCGAAGUUUGGGGUCACCUCUCUGGACGGCGUGACGGAGCAGGAACCAGCCAGCUUCCAGCGCGUGGCCUGGUGAGCGCUCGGAUACUAAGACCCCCACCGGGUGGAAGAAGGUAAGGGCAUGCUGACCACCGGCGUGUAGAUCCCAGACCACUGGAACCAGAAGGUUGAUGAUGUUGACUCCUUCCCGAAAUACCACCUGGUUACCUCACCACCAACCAGUCAGAAGAACGUCCAUAAGCUGAUCAGGUAUCCCGCCACCCCCUCCCUCACCUUGCCUUUAAAAGCCCUUCCCCGGGGCUUCCCUGGUGGUGCAGUGGUUGAGAGUCCACCUGCCGAUGCAGGGGACGUGGGUUCAUGCCCCGGUUCGGGAAGAUCCCACAUGCCGCGGAGCAGCUGGGCCCGUGAGCCAUGGCCGCUGGGCCUGCGCGUCCGGAGCCUGUGCUUCACAACGGGAGAAGCUGCAACAGUGAGAGGCCCGCGUACCGCAAAAAACAAAAACAAAAACAAAAACAAAAACAAAACCCACAAUGAGAUAUCAUCUCACACCGGUCAGAAUGGCCAUCAUCAAAAAAUCUAGAAACAACAAAUGCUGGAGAGGGUGUGCAGAAAAGGGAACACUCUUGCACUCCUGGUGGGAAUGUAAAUUGAUACAGCCAGUAUGAAGAACAGUAUGGAGGUUCCUUAAAAAACUACAAAUAGAAUUACCUAAUGACCCAGCAAUCCCACUACUGAGCAUAGACCCAGAGAAAACCAUAAUUGAAAAAGACACGUGCACCCCAAUGUUCACUGCAACAUGAUUUACAAUAGCCAGGUCAUGGAAGCAACCUAAAUGCCCAUCGACAGAUGAAUGGAUAAAGAAGAUGUGGUACAUAUAUACAAUGGAAUACUACUCAGCCAUAAAAAGGAACGAAAUUGGGUCAUUUGUAGAGACGUGGAUGAAUCUAUAGAGUGUCAUACAGAGUGAAGUAAGUCAGAAAGAGAAAAACAAAUAUCAUAUAUUAAUGCAUAUAUGUGGAACCUAGAAAAAUGGUACAGACGAACCGGUUUGCAGGGCAGAAAUUGAGACACAGAUAGAGAACAAACGUAUGGACACCAAGGGGGAAAAGCAGCGUGGGGUUGUGGUGGUGUGAUGAACUGGGAGAUUGGGAUUGACAUGUAUACACUGAUGUGUAUAAAAUGGAUAACUAAUAAGAACCUGCUGUAUAAAAAAAAUAAAAUAAAAUUCAAAUAUUCAAAAAAAGAAUUAACGCUACAUAGAUAAUUAUUAGGUCAACUAAAAAAUUGGCAUAUCGUUUGCUUGGAUAAAAAUAUUGUAUCAAUAUUAAAUUUCCUGAAGUUGAAAACUCUACUGUGUAAAUGUAAGAGAAUAUUAUUAUUUAGAGGAAAUGCUUACUGAAAUAUUUGGGGGUGAAGGGCUUUAUGCAAGUAACUUACUCUUGAAUCGUUCAGAAAAAUGUUAUGUAUCUGUAUUAUUUGUGUGUGUAUGUGUGAAUACAUGUCAAUUUAAAAAAAUG